UACAGAGGUCCCAAGCGUUGUUCGGAUUCACUGGGCGUAAAGGGUGCGCAGGUGGGUUGGCAAGUUCGAUGUGAAAGCCCCGGGCUUAACCCGGGAAUGGCAUUGGAUACUGCUGAUCUGGAGGAUCGGAGGGGGGACUGGAAUUCUUGGUGUAGCAGUGAAAUGCGUAGAUAUCAAGAGGAACACCAGUGGCGAAGGCGAGUCCCUGGACAACACCUGACACUGAGGCACGAAAGCUAGGGGAGCAAACAGG
rnacentral:rRNA from 1 species